rnacentral:rRNA from 1 species
UGCUUAGGAAUCUGCCUAUUAGUGGGGGACAACGUUCCGAAAGGAACGCUAAUACCGCAUACGUCCUACGGGGGAAAGCAGGGGAUCUUCGGACCUUGCGCUAAUAGAUGAGCCUAAGUCGGAUUAGCUAGUUGGUGGGGUAAAGGCCUACCAAGGCGACGAUCUGUAGCGGGUCUGAGAGGAUGAUCCGCCACACUGGGACUGAGACACGGCCCAGACUCCUACGGGAGGCAGCAGUGGGGAAUAUUGGACAAUGGGCGCAAGCCUGAUCCAGCCAUGCCGCGUGUGUGAAGAAGGCCUUUUGGUUGUAAAGCACUUUAAGCGAGGAGGAGGCUCCUUUAGUUAAUACCUAAAGAGAGUGGACGUUACUCGCAGAAUAAGCACCGGCUAACUCUGUGCCAGCAGCCGCGGUAAUACAGAGGGUGCGAGCGUUAAUCGGAUUUACUGGGCGUAAAGCGUGCGUAGGCGGCUUUUUAAGUCGGAUGUGAAAUCCCUGAGCUUAACUUAGGAAUUGCAUUCGAUACUGGAAAGCUAGAGUAUGGGAGAGGAUGGUAGAAUUCCAGGUGUAGCGGUGAAAUGCGUAGAGAUCUGGAGGAAUACCGAUGGCGAAGGCAGCCAUCUGGCCUAAUACUGACGCUGAGGUACGAAAGCAUGGGGAGCAAACAGGAUUAGAUACCCUGGUAGUCCAUGCCGUAAACGAUGUCUACUAGCCGUUGGGGCCUUUGAGGCUUUAGUGGCGCAGCUAACGCGAUAAGUAGACCGCCUGGGGAGUACGGUCGCAAGACUAAAACUCAAAUGAAUUGACGGGGGCCCGCACAAGCGGUGGAGCAUGUGGUUUAAUUCGAUGCAACGCGAAGAACCUUACCUGGCCUUGACAUACUAAGAACUUUCCAGAAAUG